AAGGAUAUAAGAACACACUGAAAACCAAGAACUCAGACAACUCAAAACAGCUUCCAUUGAACAACUCGUCUUAAUCAGAUCAGAGACAUGUCCUCAAAGCAGGUUGAGAUUGCUGCCCUCGGCCGUCAUUUCACCUUGGGAAAGGACGGCCUUUCCCAAGGUGAAAUGAUGCUCGUAAAGAUCAGCUGAUAACAGACUACUGUGAUCUUACCUUGGACCCAAACAGCCACUGACUCUCUCAAGCUUUCUGAGGGAAACAAGAAGGCAACGCUG